AUCCUUAUAGUUCAACUGGAAAGAACAACGGUCUUCUAAACCGUAGGUUGUAGGUUCGAGCCCUACUAAGGAUA
rnacentral:tRNA from 1 species